UAAAUGGGCAUGGGUGAGAUCCGUGACUAAUCAGCCUGAUUUUGUUUGGAAAUGAAGAUUCACAGGAUACAGAUAUUCAAAUUGGGCAGCUUUCAUUGAUGUUUAGUGUUUGGAAGUUCAUUAAUCAUGUGGAUUAGUGUAGUUAAUAAGUUUUAUCACACUAAUCAUCAAGAACAGGCAUGAGAUGCCUGUGAAGUGAUCAUUGUUCCUACGGUAGUGAUCUUGGUUUUUUGGGUUCAUCCUGCUCAAGGUGCACUGCUUUUUUGGUUUCAUCCUAUUCAGGAUCAUUUAAAGUGGCAAUUUUUUAUGUGACAAAUGCAUUGCAGGUAUUAUUACCAUUAUGACCUUGCGGCUUAGAAAAGAAUAAUCAUAAAGCAGAUCAUGACAAGCAUGGUCCCAGAAUCCACAACGAUUUCCAGCUAUCAAGUGUACUGUGGAGUAAAAAAGCAGCAAGAAGAUAAUAUUUAUAUAUAUGUUGAAAAGAAUAGAGAAAAGCUUCUGUUUUUCUAUACGAAGAUGCUCAAUCGGCAGUCAUCCCAUGAAAAAAUAAGAGAUGCUUAAAAGAAAAAGAAAGAUUUCUUUGAUUUAAAGGAAUGGCCAUACUCCAUAAAGGUCUUUGGCUCAAUGAUAUUGCUCUUUGACACUCUUUUAUGAAGAGAGAAAAUAUAAAGAAGAAAGGGUAGCUAAUCCCUAAUUGCUUUGACACAGAUGGUGACUCCAGAGAAUCUUCUCCCACUUGUGUGGACUCUAAAGAUAAAGCGCUGUUGUAACACCCCUCACCCGACUAC
rnacentral:misc_RNA from 1 species